rnacentral:rRNA from 1 species
GACGAACGCUGGCGGCGUGCCUAAUACAUGCAAGUCGAGCGGACAGAUGGGAGCUUGCUCCCUGAAGUCAGCGGCGGACGGGUGAGUAACACGUGGGCAACCUGCCUGUAAGACUGGGAUAACUUCGGGAAACCGGAGCUAAUACCGGAUACGUUAUUUUUUCGCAUGAGAGAAGAUGGAAAGAUGGUUUCGGCUAUCACUUACAGAUGGGCCCGCGGCGCAUUAGCUAGUUGGUGAGGUAAUGGCUCACCAAGGCGACGAUGCGUAGCCGACCUGGGGGGGUGAUCGGCCACACUGGGACUGAGACACGGCCCAGACUCCUACGGGAGGCAGCAGUAGGGAAUCUUCCGCAAUGGACGAAAGUCUGACGGAGCAACGCCGCGUGAACGAUGAAGGCCUUCGGGUCGUAAAGUUCUGUUGUUAGGGAAGAACAAGUACCAGAGUAACUGCUGGUACCUUGACGGUACCUAACCAGAAAGCCACGGCUAACUACGUGCCAGCCGCCGCGGUAACAC